GACGAACGCUGGCGGCGUGCCUAAUACAUGCAAGUUGAGCGCUGAAGGUUGGUACUUGUACCAACUGGUUGAGCAGCGAACGGGUGAGUAACGCGUGGGGAAUCUGCCUUUGAGCGGGGGACAACAUUUGGAAACGAAUGCUAAUACCGCAUAAAAACUUUAAACACAAGUUUUAAGUUUGAAAGAUGCAAUUGCAUCACUCAAAGAUGAUCCCGCGUUGUAUUAGCUAGUUGGUGAGGUAAAGGCUCACCAAGGCGAGGAUACAUAGCCGACCUGAGAGGGUGAUCGGCCAAAUUGGGACUGGGACACGGCCCAAAAUCCUACGGGAGGCAGCAGGAGGGGAUCUUCGGCAAUGGACGAAAGGCUGAACGAGCAACGCCGGGUGAGUGAAGAAGGGUGUCGGGUCGUAAAAGUCUGUUGGUAGAGAAGAACGUUGGUGAGAGUGGAAAGCUCAUAAAGUGACGGUAACUACACAGAAAGGGACGGCUAACUACGUG
rnacentral:rRNA from 1 species